rnacentral:lncRNA from 1 species
AUGGCCAAAACAGUCAGGGCUGGGCCAGGUGGAAGCCAAAGCCAGAAACUCCAACGGGGUCUCCCACCCGGGUGCAGGGGCCCAAGCACUCAGGCCGUCUCCCGCUGCUUUCCCGGGCACACUAGCGGGGCGCUGGCUCAGAGGUGGAGCGGCCUGGACUCACACCGGUGCUCGCGGGCCGCCAGCGUCACGGGUGGAGGCACACCUCUGCGCCACGCCGCCAGGGCUGUUUUCAGCUUUGGACGAAUGAGACUACAACUUCACGGGCCCCGCCUCACGGUCCAAGAUCCUGGUUUAUCAUGUGCCACCGGACCCACUGCCAGCAGGGGUCGUCACCUUCGUUUCCAGCGGCCGCGAGAGGUGACGUGUCCUCGGCCACAGAACUCACGGCAGACAAGGGUGCGCACUCCCCCCGCCCCCGAGUUGUCCCGCGCGCAGGGACGAGGUGCUGCGGAAGCAGCCGGAUCCUUUCUAAACGCGUCCAGCUCGGAGAAGCCCCCAGUGCUCUGCCAGUGGCGAGUGGGUGCAGAGGACAGGGUCUGGAGGGGCCCGGGGCCCGGGGGCGCGCGCUGCACCCGCAGGGCCCGUCUUCCAGGCUCCCCCGCCCGACAGAACUUCGCGGGUAGUCCUGCUUCCCUAACAGGUAAGUGCUCACUGAAAAUCAAAGUGCCGACGGCCUGGGUGUCGGCGGUUGCGUUUGGGGAGGAGGGGGAGAUGGAGUCCUCCUGUUCCCAGACGCCGCGCUGCCCCAAAACAGCGGUGCUAUUUGACAGGGGUUUAGAGCGCCUGCGAGCCCUCGGGAUGGUAGCAAGAACACGGCGGGCAAGGAAGCAGCGAGACGCAGUUCAGGUGAGCAGAGAGCCGUGGGCACUGGUGCGCCUGGUCCCUCACGCCGAGCUCCGAGGUUGGAGUCCUGGUUCCGUCCAAUUCCAGCUCCCUGCUAACGCACAGCUGGGGAGGCAGCAGGUGACGGCACACGUGUCUGGCCCUUGCCAGCUCAAUCCGAGACCCAGCUCGCGGCGCCGGCUCCUGGCUGGCUUCGGCAAGACCCAGCUCCUGCAGGCCAUCUGGGGAGUGACAUCAGCGGACAGCGCGUCCCUGUCUCUGCCUCUCCGCCCGUUUCUUGGCUCUGGCGGAAUUCCAGGCUCCUGGGGUCAAGGAAGCGCACGGAGCGGCUCCUGGGCCCUCCCCGGGUGCUGA